CGGGCGGAUGCGCAGGGGUCCCCAGGGUCCCAGGGUCGGCAGAGUCCCCCCAGGGCAGCCCGGAGAGGACCCGGACUAGGGCGCUCUGUGCACCGCUCUGGGCGCCUGGGACCAGGCGUGAAAAUAAGUCGUCCCUGAAUUGGAUGAGACUUGCAGGGUGGGGACCAUGCAGGCAGACACACUGCAGAAGCUGGCAAAGUACCCGGUGUCUGCCCUCCAGAGCAGACUACUGUGUCCCUCCUCCCUGUCUAUCUACUGAAACUUCUCCAGCACCCAACAGGUCACCCCUGCUGUGGAAAAGCUCCAGCACCAUCUCCAGAGUGGCUCUGGCUCCAGCAUCAGUUCCUGUAGCAUCUCCAGAGCCAGAUCCAGCUGUAUAACUACGGGGCCCAAGCCCGCAUACAGCUUGAGGCACUACUGUCAUUAGAUUUGAUGCCACUUCCAGCAGCAGGUCCAGAGCCAGAGCCAAGUGUACGACCGAUUCUAACAGCAAUUCCAGAGCUAGAGGCCACUCCAGGAGAAGCUCAGAGGGGCCUUGUCUUCCCACGUGUGGAACAGGAACUGCACCUGGAGCCUCCCUCCGCACCAGCUCCUGAGCUACACCCAGCACCAGCGUUGGCCUCCUCUCCCCUCUG